GACUCAGUAGUCUGAUGGUAAGUUAUUUGACCUGGGACCAGAAGGUCCCGGGUUCGACCCGCGAUGGAGUUG
rnacentral:tRNA from 1 species